ACGGACGACGUGUUCGACUUCACCGUGCACCAUGCGAAAGCUUUUUGCUGUCGUGACGUUUCCCGAAGAACAAGAUAAAGUGGCCGUUGUGCCACUCUCGUGGCUAACGGAAGACCGGGUCCAGUGCCACUGGCCUCCAAAGAGGAGGGGUGUUCGGGUCGAAGAAUUGGUUCGAGACCGGGUGGACGCAACUGCAGUCUGGCAAAAGUACCCAGUUUGUCUUGUGACUUGUUGCAGCACUUUUGAGAAAGCUGAGUGCCGUGCCACUGGUGCACAGUACGGCCUAGCGGCAGACACAACGGAGCAAUCAGGUAAUUGCUUACAUUCAUGCUUUGCUUACAUAAAAUUGUAAGCUGGUGCCUGCUUAUCAUGCCU